rnacentral:rRNA from 1 species
AUUGAACGCUGGCGGCAGGCCUAACACAUGCAAGUCGAGCGGUAGAGAGGUGCUUGCAUCUCUUGAGAGCGGCGGACGGGUGAGUAAUGCCUAGGAAUCUGCCUAGUGGUGGGGGAUAACGUUCGGAAACGGACGCUAAUACCGCAUACGUCCUACGGGAGAAAGCGGGGGAUCUUCGGACCUCGCGCCAUUAGAUGAGCCUAGGUCGGAUUAGCUAGUUGGUGAGGUAAUGGCUCACCAAGGCGACGAUCCGUAACUGGUCUGAGAGGGAGAUCCCCCCANACUGGUACUGAGACACGGACCAGACUCCUACGGGAGGCAGCAGUGAGGAAUAUUGGACAAUGGGCGCAAGCCUGAUCCAGCCAUGCCGCGUGCAGGAUGACGGUCCUAUGGAUUGUAAACUGCUUUUAUACAGGAAGAAACACUCCGACGUGUCGGAGCUUGACGGUACUGUAAGAAUAAGGAUCGGCUAACUCCGUGCCAG